rnacentral:lncRNA from 1 species
CCCAACCUUUUUGGCCCAUGGUAGGCCGAACACAAUACAUUUGCUCUCCCCAAGUGGACUGAACUACAGACCAUAGCACAGUUCUUUCUGAAGUAAGUCACCUUUAUGGUUCUUGGUAUCUGUUAUAGGUUGUGAAUCCAUCAAUCAGAAGAUGUACAUCAGCAAUAACCACAAGCAUAAUAUGAUCUGAGCCUCCCCGACAGCUCGGGAGGGAGCACCGGUAUCCCUUGGGAUAUGUUGCCUCAGCAAAACUGUUUAACACUGAACAAGAGAUGGCAGGUGGAUAGAUCGAACCUUCUUUCAGCAUGUAUUGAUCUCCUUCUGCCUAUGAGAUCCAGGAAUACAACAGCAAGUUAAAC